rnacentral:rRNA from 1 species
UACGUAGGGUGCGAGCGUUAAUCGGAAUUACUGGGCGUAAAGCGUGCGCAGGCGGUUUUGUAAGCCAGAUGUGAAAUCCCCGGGCUUAACCUGGGAAUGGCAUUUGGGACUGCAAGGCUCGAGUGCGGCAGAGGGGGGUAGAAUUCCACGUGUAGCAGUGAAAUGCGUAGAGAUGUGGAGGAAUACCGAUGGCGAAGGCAGCCCCCUGGGAUAACACUGACGCUCAUGCACGAAAGCGUGGGGAGCAAACAGG